AUUGAACGCUCGCGGCAGUCCUAACACAUGCAAGUCGAACGAGUGGCGGACGGGUGAGUAAUGUCUGGGAAACUGCCAGAUAGAGGGGGAUAACUACUGGAAACGGUAGCUAAUACCGCAUACUAUCAGAUGAGCCCAGAUGGGAUUAGCUUGUUGGUGUGGUAACGGCUCACCAAGGCGAAGAUCUCUAUCUGGUCUGAGAGGAUGACCAGCCAAACUGGAACUGAGACACGGUCCAGACUCCUACGGGAGGCAGCAGUGGGGAAUAUUGCACAAUGGGCGCAAGCCUGAUGCAGCCAUGCCGCGUGUAUGAAGAAGGCCUUCGGGUUGUAAAGUACUUUCAGCGGGGAGGCGUUACCCGCAGAAGAAGCACCGGCUAACUCCGUGCCAGCAGCCGCGGUAAUUC
rnacentral:rRNA from 1 species